rnacentral:rRNA from 1 species
AUUGAACGCUGGCGGCAUGCCUUACACAUGCAAGUCGAACGGCAGCACGGGGCAACCUGGUGGCGAGUGGCGAACGGGUGAGUAAUGCAUCGGAACGUGCCAUUGAGUGGGGGAUAACGUAGCGAAAGUUGCGCUAAUACCGCAUAUUCUGUGAGCAGGAAAGCAGGGGACCGCAAGGCCUUGCGCUCUUUGAGCGGCCGAUGUCAGAUUAGCUAGUUGGUGAGGUAACGGCUUACCAAGGCGACGAUCUGUAGCGGGUCUGAGAGGAUGAUCGCCACACUGGAACUGAGACACGGUCCAGACUCCUACGAGAGGCAGCAGUGGGGAAUUUUGGACAAUGGGCGCAAGCCUGAUCCAGCCAUGCCGCGUGAGUGAAGAAGGCCUCGGUUGUAAGAC